GAGACCCACGCCCACAGUUGCCAGCGUACUCUCCGGAGUGACGGGUACACUGUGGGGACCGCCGCUGCUAAAGCGGAGGAAGGAAUGGGCAACGGUAGGUCAGUAUGCCCCGAAUGUCCCGGGCUACACGCGAGCUACAAUGGUUGGUACAAUGGGUAUCUACCCCGAAAGGGGAUGGAAAUCUCCUAAAGCCAAUCUUAGUUCGGAUUGAGGGCUGCAACUCGCCCUCAUGAAGCUGGAAUCCGUAGUAAUCGCGUUUCAACAGAACGCGGUGAAUAC
rnacentral:rRNA from 1 species